GAUUUCUGACUGACCGUCCUGGCCCGCUUCUUUUACGGGAGUGAGUGCCGGUACGAGUUUGUCAUCCUUCUAGAAAGCCGCGCCUACCGUUCAUUCGUGCGGGCGUGUGCGGUCUAGAUCUUUUACUUUGAAAAAAUUAGAGUGUUUAAAGCAGGCUUACGCUAUGAAUACAUUAGCAUGGAAUAAUAAUAUAGGACUUUGAUUCUAUUUUGUUGGUUUCUAGGAUUGAAGUAAUGAUUGAUAGGGAUAGUUGGGGGUGCUAGUAUUCCGCGGCCAGAGGUGAAAUUCUUGGAUUCGCGGAAGACUAACUACUGCGAAAGCAUU
rnacentral:rRNA from 2 species